CCUACGGGAGGCAGCAGUGGGGAAUAUUGGACAAUGGGCGAAAGCCUGAUCCAGCAAUGCCGCGUGAGUGAUGAAGGCCUUAGGGUUGUAAAGCUCUUUUACCAGGGAUGAUAAUGACAGUACCUGGAGAAUAAGCUCCGGCUAACUCCGUGCCAGCAGCCGCGGUAAUACGGAGGGAGCUAGCGUUGUUCGGAAUUACUGGGCGUAAAGAGUACGUAGGCGGUUAUUCAAGUCAGAGGUGAAAGCCCGGGGCUCAACCCCGGAACUGCCUUUGAAACUAGAUAGCUAGAGUCUUGGAGAGGUUAGUGGAAUUCCGAGUGUAGAGGUGAAAUUCGUAGAUAUUCGGAAGAACACCAGUGGCGAAGGCGACUAACUGGACAAGUACUGACGCUGAGGUACGAAAGCGUGGGGAGCAAACAGGAUUAGAUACCCUGGUAGUCCCACGACCGUAACGAUAGAUAACUAGUUGUUCGGUCGACUGUGUCGUGAGUGACGCAGCUACGCAUUAAGUUAUCCGUCCGUCGGGUAGGUACGGUCGCGAAGAAUUAAAACUAACAAAGGAAGUUAGACGCGUGAGACGNGCCGACGGACGACGACGAGGUAGG
rnacentral:rRNA from 1 species